rnacentral:rRNA from 1 species
GGCUUGCAGUGGGUACGGGCAGACUAGAGUGCGGUAGGGGAGAUUGGAAUUCCUGGUGUAGCGGUGGAAUGCGCAGAUAUCAGGAGGAACACCGAUGGCGAAGGCAGAUCUCUGGGCCGUAACUGACGCUGAGGAGCGAAAGCAUGGGGAGCGAACAGGAUUAGAUACCCUGGUAGUCCAUGCCGUAAACGUUGGGCGCUAGAUGUAGGGACCUUUCCACGGUUUCUGUGUCGUAGCUAACGCAUUAAGCGCCCCGCCUGGGGAGUACGGCCGCAAGGCUAAAACUCAAAGGAAUUGACGGGGGCCCGCACAAGCGGCGGAGCAUGCGGAUUAAUUCGAUGCAACGCGAAGAACCUUACCAAGGCUUGACAUACACCGGAAACGGCCAGAGAUGGUCGCCCCCUUGUGGUCGGUGUACAGGUGGUGCAUGGUUGUCGUCAGCUCGUGUCGUGAGAUGUUGGGUUAAGUCCCGCAACGAGCGCAACCCUCGUUCUAUGUUGCCAGCGGGUUAUGCCGGGGACUCAUAGGAGACUGCCGGGGUCAACUCGGAGGAAGGUGGGGAUGACGUCAAAUCAUCAUGCCCCUUAUGUCUUGGGCUUCACGCAUGCUACAAUGGCCGGUACAAAGGGCUGCGAUACCGUAAGGUGGAGCGAAUCCCAAAAAGCCGGUCUCAGUUCGGAUUGAGGUCUGCAACUCGACCUCAUGAAGUCGGAGUCGCUAGUAAUCGCAGAUCAGCAACGCUGCGGUGAAUACGUUCCCGGGCCUUGUACACACCGCCCGUCAAGUCAUGAAAGUCGGUAACACCCGAAGCCGGUGGCCUAACCCUUG